UACGUAGGGUGCAAGCGUUGUCCGGAAUUAUUGGGCGUAAAGAGCUCGUAGGCGGUUCGUCGCGUCGGCUGUGAAAACCUGAGGCUCAACCUCAGGACUGUAGUCGAUACGGGCGGACUUGAGUACUGCAGGGGAGACUGGAAUUCCUGGUGUAGCGGUGAAAUGCGCAGAUAUCAGGAGGAACACCGGUGGCGAAGGCGGGUCUCUGGGCAGUAACUGACGCUGAGGAGCGAAAGCGUGGGGAGCGAACAGG
rnacentral:rRNA from 1 species